CAGAAUUCUCAAAGACGUGUCAGGAGCCUUGAAAACAGCCAUUUGUUUGGAGUAAAUGAUCCCUGUGGAGGCAAUGAUCAUAAAGCUCAGGCUACAGAUGAAAUGGCUCAGCACCGAGGGGAGAGAAAAUGAGCGAAAUUCACACGUUCUGUGGACACCACCGAAUGUUCCACUUGGGGGAAAAAAACACCUCUCUGAUCGCACUCUUCCACGGCUUACUUCUAAGAGACCGAUAGCAGAUGGGACCGUGGGCUUUGUGGUGAGGGUGGCAGGGACAACAGACGGACCUCUGAACAUGUUCCUAUUGAUCAUUCUCUUUAUCCUUAUGGAGCCAGUCGAGAAAUGCAAGCAGAUGGAUAGUGCUGUAAAGGCCUUCGACGCUGGGUUGUCAUGGUGACGGAGGCCUUAUGGCGGUUCAUGCCCGUGUACCUCACUGUGCCUCACCCACUCCACGGGCCAGACCCGGCAGCUCAAACUGGGUUGGACACACUGCUGGCCUACCUCACACUCAACCCAUGGCUGACCAACAAUUGUUGCAUGAAUUUCAUACAAAACACUGCUUCCCCCCUCUCUGUGUGCCAUGCUCUUCCAUUGCUUUCCAACUCAGCUCACCCUUGGCCAGUUUUGUGCAUCCUAAAGCCCUGACUGAUGAUCCAAAAGAGCAGGAAGAUGGCUUCGACGCUUCCGGAAAGGGCCGUGUGAGGCCGAAACAUGUUGGUGUAGUUUUUAAAUGUUUCUGUAUGAACUAGCCCUUCAUUAAAGGCUUUUUAUUCUAAGAAGAGUGCCUUGGACUUGAUUGAUAAUUGAAGUUUGGGUUUUCACAAGUGAGAUAUGAGUAUGGCCAGCAAACAAUUGCAGUUUGACAUUUUCAAAAAUAGGCAGAUUCAAAAAAUGUACAGUUUUAAGAUUAUUUUUAAAGCUGUACACUGAGUGUUGGAUAUGUAUGCCAACGGUCUUAAAAAGUGUGAACAGGAAUUAAAAUUUGAGUGAAUGCAAUCAAACUGAUCUGGAAGUUUUUUAGAAAUAGUCAAUUUCAUGAUACAUGAGCUUCACUUUCGAUCACAGGGUCCAUAGUACUAGUUCCAGCGUGUAAACUAGAAAAAUUCUAGAAUCACUAAAGACUAAUCUGGAUAUGAGUCUAAUCUGGAGUUGGGAUCGCAUUCCAGUUGUCUUAUCCAAAUAUGCUUGUAUUUAUAUUAAUUAACAAUUU